UCGUCUUUCCCAGCAGCCGCCGUUCAGCACAGAGUAAAACCAGCAGCCAAACGCUGGAGCUUAGCUUUGGUUGCUAGGUUACGGCGUAGCUCCGCCGUGGUUGCUAGGUAGCGGGCAGGGCCUGCUGAUUUACGGCUCAUUUUUGGUUCUUUUUUAAGAGCUUGGUUUGUUUUUAGCAGCUGGAUCCCAAAUGGAAGAACAAACGUGCAGAACUUUGCAUGUUUUUGAAAAGUUGUUCUUGAUUUAGGACGUUUACAGAAUAUUCUAGUCCAGAGAUCGGCGUCUGCAGCAUCCAGAGAGUUGGAUCGUUUGGGUCGGACCUGGUUCUUCAUGUUUUCCAUCUCACUGAUGGUUUGGAGCCUUAAAGAAACGUGCGGACGGACCUACGCAGACCAGGUCCAUGAAGCCGUACAUGCCGUAGCAGAUCUGGAAGAGGACGUCUCUGCGCUGCCAGACGGCCUGCGGACUGAGAGCCGACCAGAGCAGCCAGGAGAUGCUGGCCACCAGGAAGAGCGAGCCCAGGAACACGGCGAUGAUCUGGACCUUCUCCACCAGCGUGAUGGUGAUGGGCUGCCACUGAGGGCGCAGGACACAGAAAACUUCACAUCUCUACGCAAACGUGACAUCAAUUCAUCUACACUGGGAAUAAAACCUUAAGUUUUUAAUGUA